rnacentral:rRNA from 1 species
UUCGNGUACUGGAAUCCCAAGCGGACCUUUCCUUCUGGCUAACCUUGGGUCCUUGUGGCUCUUGGCGAACCAGGAUUUUUACUUUGAAAAAAUUAGAGUGUUCAAAGCAGGCGUAUUGCUCGAAUAUAUUAGCAUGGAAUAAUAGAAUAGGACGUUUGGUUCUAUUUUGUUGGUUUCUAGGACCAUCGUAAUGAUUAAUAGGGACGGUCGGGGGCAUCAGUAUUCAAUUGUCAGAGGUGAAAUUCUUGGAUUUAUUGAAGACUAACUACUGCGAAAGCAUUUGCCAAGGACGUUUUCAUUAAUCAAGAACGAAAGUUAGGGGAUCGAAGAUGAUCAGAUACCGUCGUAGUCUUAACCAUAAACUAUGCCGACUAGGGAUCGGGUGGUGUUUUUUUAAUGACCCACUCGGCACCUUACGAGAAAUCAAAGUCUUUGGGUUCUGGGGGGGGUAUGGUCGCAAGGCUGAAACUUAAAGGAAUUGACGGAAGGGCACCACCAGGAGUGGAGCCUGCGGCUUAAUUUGACUCAACACGGGGAAACUCACCAGGUCCAGACACAAUAAGGAUUGACAGAUUGAGAGCUCUUUCUUGAUUUUGUGGGUGGUGGUGCAUGGCCGUUCUUAGUUGGUGGAGUGAUUUGUCUGCUUAAUUGCGAUAACGAACGAGACCUUAACCUACUAAAUAGUGGUGCUAGCAUUUGCUGGUUGUCCGCUUCUUAGAGGGACUAUCGGUUUCAAGCCGAUGGAAGUUUGAGGCAAUAACAGGUCUGUGAUGCCCUUAGACGUUCUGGGCCGCACGCGCGCUACACUGACGGAGCCAGCGAGUCUAACCUUGGCCGAGAGGUCCUGGUAAUCUUGUGAAACUCCGUCGUGCUGGGGAUAGAGCAUUGUAAUUAUUGCUCUUCAACGAGGAAUUCCUAGUAAGCGCAAGUCAUCAGCUUGCGUUGAUUACGUCCCUGCCCUUUGUACACACCGCCC